rnacentral:lncRNA from 1 species
UCCUAAAAUUGAUAGGUGCUCUAGAAACUAUACAAUAAAGAAAGGUGUCAAAUUACAAAAAUGAGAUGCAUAGUUUAGCAACUACCAAGUUGAAAUACAAUAAUACAUGGAAAAUAAACUCUCCAUACUAAAUCAAACACAAAGAUCCAUAUUUUUGCUUAGAGUUUAACAGACAUUUUUAUUAGUUAGGCUCAUUUUGUUAUAGAAAUCUCCUCUCCCUUCUUCACGUAAACAGUGUACCCUUUUUAACCAUAACUUUGAAAAAUAAAGAGGAGGUCAUCACAUGAAAGUUAGUCCUUAAUUUAUUCAUCAGUUCUCAAUCUAAAAUUUUCUCAUUUGGUUUAGAAUCUUAAGUAUAUUAACAGCAUAAAAAAAGAAAAAGAUCAUUUUACAAGUUAUUUUACUCCUUCAAUACCAAGAAAUUUAUAAGCUGAUCCUUCCCUUUUGAUUCUCCUCCUUGUCCUCCACCUCUUCUAAUCCCAUCCAUGCAGCCUUCCAUGCUGUCAUCGCCGUCCAGGCUGACCUCUAUGAUUCCAUCCUCUUCUUCAAUAGUGUCUCCCUCCACCUCUACUUUUUUCUUCACCGGUGACCCCUUCUUUCCUCUUCUCCUAUUCCUCCUCAUCCUUUUCUUAUAUGAGCAAGAGGUAUUUUCAUCCAUUAAAAUGGCAACAUAAUGCUGUUUACUGGUCAAUGAAUGACAGGAU